rnacentral:ncRNA from 1 species
GAAUGUGCUGGGCGCAUUCACGACGGUGUAUCGCAUUUUAAAUUUGUGGCAGGAUUGACAAAUUGAGAGCUCUUUCUUGAUGGUGGUGCUUGUCCGUUCUUAUUUGGUGGAGCGAUUUGUCUGGUUAAUCCCGAUAACGAACGAGACUCUAGCCUAUUAAAGAGGUGCUUUGUUCUCUGCACCUUGCACCCUUCUUAGAGGGACAAGAGACUCCUAGCCGCACGAAACAGAGCAACAACAGGUCUGUGAUGCCCUUAGGUGUUCAGGGCCACACGCGCACUA